rnacentral:rRNA from 1 species
GACGAACGCUGGCGGCGUGCUUAACACAUGCAAGUCGAACGGAAAGGCCCUGCUUGCAGGGUACUCGAGUGGCGAACGGGUGAGUAACACGUGGGUGAUCUGCUCUUCACUUCGGGAUAAGCCUGGGAAACUGGGUCUAAUACCGGAUAGGAGCCAUUUUUAGUGUGAUGGUUGGAAAGUUUUUUUCGGUGUAGGAUGAGCUCGCGGCCUAUCAGCUUGUUGGUGGGGUAAUGGCCUACCAAGGCGGCGACGGGUAGCCGGCCUGAGAGGGUGGACGGCCACAGUGGGACUGAGAUACGGCCCAGACUCCGACGGGAGGCAGCAGUGGGGAAUAUUGCACGAUGGGCGCAAGCCUGAUGCAGCGACGCCGCGUGGGAGAUGACAGCCUUCGGGUUGGAAACUCAUUUCGCUAGGGACGAAGCUUUUUGUGACGGUACCUAGAGAAGAAGCACCGGCUAACUACGUG